GGGAGACAGUUUCGCGGGUUCGGGAGGCGAGUCUCCGGUUUCCGUCCAGUCUCUGGGGACGUGGUGGCGGGGUCUGAAUCGCCUGGCUUCCAGGGAGUUUUGGGCGGGUCCCCGCACGGGAGUGUGGCGGGCGCUGGACUCGACAGCAGAUGUGGAACUAGAGACCUUGGCGCGCCCUCAUACUUUGUCACACACCUACGCCACCAGAAUGGGGUCGGGCCCCUCCGCGUUCUGCUCUGGAGGGCCUGGGUCUGGGCCCAGCAUCGCGCUUUUAGAAUCUCCUCAGCUGAAUCUGACGCUCAGCCAUAGGUGAAGCUUAGCCUGCUGUUUCAGGCCCCGCCGACCUGGAAGGAGUGUCAGAGCUGGAGCGCGCGUGGCCUCCUCGGUGUUGGGGUCACCCCGGGGUUGCCAGGGCUCAGGGAGGGUCGUAGUCUAGAUUUUGUCACCCCCACGUCCCCGCCCCGCAGCAAGUCUGGGGUUUGAGAACUCACGCGGUCUUCAUAAGCUAGAUGCCAAUUGACCCUCGAGGAGGGAUGCUCCCUCCCCUUAAGCGUCCACGCUGGAGAAGGCGGUAAGAGUGAAGCUAUCCUGGCCAAGAACUUUGAGAGAGACAACACUAUUCAUUCUGAAGGACCAAAAAAUGAGCAGAAAAUUUGGGAUAAAUGUCAACAAGAUUUGAACCCUAAAGAAAAGCAAGCAUCGAGUUAGACAGACCUCCAUAUUCAUUCAAGUGGGAAGCUAAAACUGUGCAGUCCCAACAUCAGAAUUUCCUUGGUCAGUUGGUUAUUGCGGGACAGCAUUCUUCUGCAUGACAGUAUUGUCUCCUUACCAGCCACAGAGGAGGCUGUGAAAGAGAGGAUUUGGGAAAUUAGUGCAAAUGAGAAAUCUUGGAAAUCUAGAACUAAAGCCUUCCAGCAGGAAAUCCAGAUGCUCACUAAGUGACUAGAGCAGCUGCAUCAUCUUUAAGAAGAAGGUGCCCAAGAAUCAUCCCAAGCUGAAGAAAAAAGUAUUGGGAACAAAAAAGACCCUUGAAAUGUCUAGAAAGAAAAAUUGAGAUCAAGGACUUUUUCAAGAGAGAUUAGACUUGGACAGGAAGAUGGAGUCUCACUCUGUCACCCAGGCUGGAGUGCAGUGGUGCGAUCUCGGCUCACUGCAACCUCUGCCUCCCGGGUUCAAGCGAUUUUCCUGUCUCAGCCUCCCGAGUAGCUGGGAUUACAGAAUUUGCAGAUUGCUACAACGCAAAGAUUGGAGGAGAAAAUUCAGAAACUUCAGAAACAGCUCAGUGAUUUGAAAUUGUCAAAUAAAAAUAUGAAAACUCAGCUGACAAGAGUAAAUGUCCUUAAAGACAAAACAAUUGAAGAGCUCAGGCAAUCUUUAGCAAAUGUUGAAACGAUGAAAGAGAAGGCAAAUGUUGAAACGAUGAAAGAGAAGGCAGUUGUGAAAACAGAAAACUUGAAAACUACAUUAGACUCUGCAGAGCAAAAGGCAAGGUCAGACAAAGAGAAGACCCAGCAGAUGUUAGAUGCUGUCACUUCUGAGCCCCCCACAGCAAAGAGCACACCUGAAGAAGUAUCAGGACAAGAACAAGAGGCCUAUCCAGAGAUUCCAGUUCAGUUUGUGGUAUGAGGCUGAAGUAUGGAUAUUUUUUUCAAAGCUCCUUAAGUAUAUAAAUGGAUAAAAUUACUUUGGAAGA
rnacentral:sRNA from 1 species